rnacentral:tRNA from 1 species
GCAGUGGUGGUUCAGUGACAGAAUUCUCACCUUGCAUGUGGGAGACCCAGGUUCCAUUCCUAGCUACCGCA